rnacentral:rRNA from 1 species
CGGUAACAUUUCUAGCUUGCUAGAAGAUGACGAGUGGCGGACGGGUGAGUAAUACUUAGGAAUAUGCCUUUGUGUGGGGGAUAACUAUUGGAAACGAUAGCUAAUACCGCAUAACGUCUUCGGACCAAAGGGGGCUUCGGCUCCCGCGCAAAGAGUAGCCUAAGCGAGAUUAGCUUGUUGGUGAGGUAAAGGCUCACCAAGGCGACGAUCUCUAGCUGUUCUGAGAGGAAGAUCAGCCACACUGGAACUGAGACACGGUCCAGACUCCUACGGGAGGCAGCAGUGGGGAAUAUUGCACAAUGGGGGAAACCCUGAUGCAGCCAUGCCGCGUGUGUGAAGAAGGCCUUCGGGUUGUAAAGCACUUUCAGUUGUGAGGAAAGGUUAACGGUUAAUACCCGUUAGCUGUGACGUUAGCAACAGAAGAAGGACCGGCUAACUCCGUGCCAGCAGCCGCGGUAAUACGGAGGGUCCGAGCGUUAAUCGGAAUUACUGGGCGUAAAGCGCACGCAGGCGGUUUGUUAAGCUAGAUGUGAAAGCCCUGGGCUCAACCUGGGAAUUGCAUUUAGAACUGGCAGGCUAGAGUUUUGGAGAGGGGAGUGGAAUUCCAGGUGUAGCGG